rnacentral:rRNA from 1 species
UAAUACGUAGGGUGCGAGCGUUGUCCGGAAUUAUUGGGCGUAAAGAGCUCGUAGGCGGUUUGUUGCGUCGGCCGUGAAAACCUGCAGCUUAACUGUGGGCCUGCGGCCGAUACGGGCAGACUUGAGUUCGGUAGGGGAGACUGGAAUUCCUGGUGUAGCGGUGAAAUGCGCAGAUAUCAGGAGGAACACCGGUGGCGAAGGCGGGUCUCUGGGCCGAUACUGACGCUGAGGAGCGAAAGCGUGGGGAGCGAACAGGAUUAGAUACCCUGGUAGUCCACGCUGUAAACGUUGGGCGCUAGGUGUGGGGAGCAUUCCACGUUCUCCGUGCCGUAGCUAACGCAUUAAGCGCCCCGCCUGGGGAGUACGGCCGCAAGGCUA